GUGCCAGCAGCCGCGGUAAUACGGAGGGUGCAAGCGUUAUCCGGAAUCACUGGGUUUAAAGGGUGCGUAGGCGGUCAGAUAAGUCAGUUGUGAAAUACCCCGGCUUAACCGGCGGAACGGCGAUUGAUACUGUUUGACUUGAAUCAGGUUGAGGUAGGCGGAAUGUGGCAUGUAGCGGUGAAAUGCUUAGAUAUGCCAUAGAACACCGAUUGCGAAGGCAGCUUGCUGGACCUGUAUUGACGCUGAGGCACGAAAGCGUGGGGAGCAAACAGGAUUAGAUACCCCCGUAGUCC
rnacentral:rRNA from 1 species